AAGCGCGAUAGGUAGUGUGAAUUGCAGAAUUCCGUGAAUCAUCGAAUUUUUGAACGCACAUUGCGCUCAAGCCUUCGGGCUUGAGCAUGUCUGCCUCAGCGUCGUUUUCAAAUGGCUUGCCGUCCGUGACCCUUGCCGCUCCCUUCGAGGGAGGGCAUGGGUUUAAGCCGUGACCUCCGGCACGUCCGUCCAUCCGUGGGCGGCGUGCGGCAGCAGCCACUCCGGCACUGCUCAUCGUAAGCAUGCUGCAUACCGUGGCAUCAUAUGCUCUACCAUGGGCCCUGCUGGUUAGUUGAUGGCGCGCGGCUUGCUCGAUGUGCUGCUGCUGCUGCUGUUGCUUCAUCAUCAGCAGCGCGCACAAGCAGGCUCAGCCGCCUCAGCUGGACACCUGGCUGCGCAACACACCAUUCGACCUGAGUUUAGGCAGGGUUACCCGCUGAACUUAAGC
rnacentral:misc_RNA from 1 species